rnacentral:lncRNA from 1 species
CAUAAAAAAUGGAAGUUUAAGGGAGAGAAAAGUAGUUUGGGGGUAGGAGAGGAGUUUGGACCAAGUUAUUAUGUAUUUAAAGAAUAAGCAGGGUUAUGUGGAAUUCUUGUGAACAAUUCUUAUAAAAUCUUUAAUAAGUGGAUUCCAGUCCACUUUCCAAAAUGCCCAUAGCUUAAUUGCACUUGGUAUUUUACUCUUCAGAUCAGAUGAUACUCCAGACCGAAAUUCAUCAUCAUCUAACCCAGCUUUUUAUCCCCUGACUUUCAGGAGCCUGUGAAUGAGCUGCCUUCCCUGAUGUCAGCACUGAAACUCGAGAAACAAGUUUCUCUGAAAUCUCUGGAUCAUCUUACAUUCUGGCAAUUUCUACCUUCUGUUAGUGAAGGUAGUCAUCUCUUUCCAACUAGAUGAUUUGCUUUAGCCCCAACAUGCAAAGGGAGAAUUUGAGCAAAAAGACUUCAAGGCAUCUUGCAAAGGUGGUAGGCCUCUAUACAGGACUUUAAACUCCUACAGAUGUGGCCUUGAAUCAGCAUGAUCAAAUUAUUCUGGCCGUUGACUCCUCAUCAAUCUACAUGAUGGCCAUAAAUCCUGGAUAUGGGUGAGUAUAUACAUAUAUAUGAUUGUUUACUGAUG